CCGUCAGGGGCGGAGCUAAUAAAUUCAGCUUUGAGAACAUAGUUUUAUUUUUUUAAUAUGGCCCCGUAAGUUUAAUAAUUUAGCAGUUUAACCCAAUAAUUAAAUACACUUUUUUAACCUUUACUCCUUAAAGUUUACUUUUAUAAAAUUUUGGCCCCCCUGGAAUUUUAUUCCCAGCUCCCACCAAUGUCUCCCCUCUCUUUUCCUUCAUGACAUUCCUCAUUAAGCCAGGUACGUGAACAUUUGUAAUGUAAUGCUUCCAGUCAAUGCUCCCCAUGUCAAAUCCAAACUUUUUCUUCUCUUCUUCAUUCAUGAUCUGCAUUAGCCCCAGUGUGUUGCUGCAAUCAAACCUGGCACAUGGAGAUCAUGCAUGAACACAAAAUAAUACUUUAGGCCAAAGAAUAAUUAUAAUAGAGUUAUAUAUUGAUGCAGUAACCUCAAAUUAAUUAGUUAAUAUUACCUUCCAGCAUAAAAUCCGUAUGGAAGGUACACAUUAGCGAACUCCUUUCUGCGUAAAAUUUCAUAUUGUUUCUGAGCCAGCAGCUCGCCAUUUGAAGAUCCAAUAAUGCUUCGCUGCAUGGCACCAUCCAAAAGGUGAGCUGAAAAAUCUUCCAUGGAAGUGAAAAGCUUCAUUAAUGGAACACGGAUUGGGCUUCCCAUUGAGUCCAGAAAAGGCGAGGAAUCGAAGUGUUCGUGAAGAAGGCUCAAAAGAUAUUUGGUAACUAAUGGGUUUGUAACAGAUGAUGCAAUUUGAUAGACCUUGACUUCUGGUUUUUGUAUGACCACUUGUCCAUGCUUUGCGAUGGCUGCCAACGUUGCGUUCACAACCAUGUCGACUGGGAUCUGUAGCAGCCAAUAUUUAUGUUAAAAUAAUGAGCACUGAUAUUUGGAUAACAAAAUUGACAAAACACUAACAAUCAUGUGUAAAUUUUUUUAACAUUUUUCUAAAAUAUCACUAAGUGGUUAGGAUAAAUGUCAAAUUUUAUGCAUAUAUAUUAAUUAAUUAACUAUCAAUCAUGUGCAAAUUCCCUUCUAUUUUGCUAAAAUAAAACUUAUAUGAGUACAGAAUCAUGGUCCACCAAUGAAAAAGCCAUUUGAGUAAAAUGGUUGAUAUUACUUACUACAUCCAAUAUUCCACUAGGGACUCCUACAAACUCGUUUAGCUGCCCUCUUCCAUAGUACAAAAUCAUAAGAUCCAAGAUCCUGUGAAUCGAGAAGUAGGGUAGGGAGAUAAGAUAUCUAAAAUCUCAUAUACAAAUAAUGGAAAAAUUAAUUUUAGGUUUUCUUGUGUCAUGUAUCUAUAUUUACUCUUAAUUCAUUGGUUAUUUGCACAUGACAAGAAUCUAAGAUAUAUAAGAGUACACGUGAUAAUAGUUUACAGAAGAGAGUAUAUAUACCAACAAUUAAUAUUAAAAAAUUUCUCUGAAACAAUAUAUAUAUACAUACAACAAAAGUUGAUUUCCGAUACCUAUUUCCUUGUAUCCAACCAGCGAAUGGUUCUUUAUAAGUGCUCUGAAUCAUACUAGGUCGAAUGAUCACAACCGGUAUAUUUUCUUUCAAGGUAUCAAUCAUCAUUUCGCCCAUAGCCUUUGUGAAAACAUAUGUGACAUCCCAUCCAUAUUUUCUUGCCCUAAUUAACAAUUAGAUGUUACAUAUACGAAGCAGCAACAAAUCUAAACAAAGAAAAUAAUAAAGUGAAGGGGGAUUUUAUCACCUUUCUAAACCCAAUUCCUUCAUUUUCUUUCGAGCGUCUUCAUCAUUUUCAAGGGCUUUUUUGGAUUUCAUAGCCAACUCUAUUUCUUUUUCAACGUCCAAAUUUGGUUCAAUUUUGGAGUUAUUGAAGUUUAAUUCCCUUGCUAUCGUAUCCCCCAUGUAGAAGGGCUUUUCCAUAAUCCUUCCUUGUCUCUUUCCAUCAUUAACAUAUGCUGCAAAUAAUUUUGAAAGAAGGGUAACAACAUUUUAGUCCUCGAUUUCAGGCAAAAGCUUAAGGAAAUCAAAAUUGCAAUUUUCUUUUCACAUAGGUUCUUGCUGACUGCUGCGAACAUUAUAGGUUUUAGACACUUGCCUGUCGACAUGUGCACAAAAACCUUAAUCUUCUUGCACUUUUUCGCAAAAUUCAUGACAUGGGAAGGUCCUCUUGUGUUUAUAUCGAUAGCAAUGUCAUAUCUGCAGUUUCAAAUUAAACUACAUGAUGCCACUUAUAUUAUGUAUCUAAAUAAUUACGUGCAAUAUUUUUUAAAAAUAUAUAUUGUGUCGUUGCCCAGAUUUCAAGAUCAGUAGGAACAAAUUUAAUUUACUGUAAAAAAAUUAGGUUUUUCUCAAGUAUUUUUAAAAAAAUUUAAAUUUUAAUGUAUUCUUUAAAGAGAUUUUGACAAUGAAAAUAUACUUUUGAGCUUAUUUGUUUAUAUAUAUUAUUCAAAACCGAUGGAAAGAAAUCACAAUUUUUAUUGAGGACAAAUAAACAUUUUAACUGAAAUUUAAAAAAGAUUUUCUAAAAAUUUUAUGGAUCUACCACUAGUUUGUUGAAGAGCUAGACUAGUUAGUUGAUAUCACUUUCUAUUUGAUAUAAAUAUGAUUAAAUCAAGGUCAUAAAUGAUUAUAAGUUUAUAACCUUUCGUGUAAGGUUGUAUUAGCUGCAGAAUUUAUAAUUACGUCGACUUCAUUUGCGAUCACUUUGGCCAAAUCUCCUUCUAAUCCAAGGUUACUUUCACUUAUAUUUCCUACCACAGGAACCAAUUUAUUUAACAUGAAAUCUUGGUAGCAUUCCCCAUAAGUUUGCUGAAGACACUUGAAAAGUUCCGCAUUGAUGACCUGAAAGUGCACAACCAAAAAAAUAAUAAUAACAAAGAAAUUAAAGAUUUGGGACAAAAUAGUAAAAUCUAAAAAAUUAGUGAAUUAACAGUAAUAUUUAAAAGUCUAUAACCAACAUACUUCAUCUUUUAAUCUUUUCGAUGCAGCUUCUUCACUUUCUGCCUUGAUCAAAAGAAAUAUCUUACCCACCUCAGGCGCUGUUCGUAAUAUCUUCUCUAUAAGAACUGAAAAAGAAAAAGAAAAUUGAAUAGUAUAAUAAUAUUAAUACAUUUCAAGGUUAUAGCUCGUCGAUUCCUACACUGUAUGUUCUAAAAUACUUUGUCUUAGAAUGAUUUUCAUGUAAUUUUAUUUAGCUGGCCACUAAAUUUGAAUUUUAGAAAAGGUAGGGGGUUAAACAAUUUCCAAUUUUUUUAAAAAAAUAAUAAAUAUAAUAAAACAAAAAGAGUGUGUUAAAGAUAAAACUUAAAAUAUAUAUACCCUUUGUAAGAAGUCUUGUUGUCCUAGUAAUAAAAAAGAAUGUGCGCGCACACACACACACAAAAUAAAACCAAAAUAGUGUGUUAAAAAUAAAACUUAAAUGAAAAUAUACCCUUUGCGAGAAACCCUGUUGCCCCAGUAACAAAAAAGCUCUUCCCUACAAAAAAUUUUUCAAUACCAAUACCGUAUUGCUUUGGGUAUUGGGCUGAAUUUUUCGACAUUUUCAAGUGAAGAUGCAAAGAUGGAGUUCUGCGUGUGAGGUUUUAUAGAAAAAGGAGAUGAGUGUAUACGCAAUCUUUUUAAUACAAUAAAAAAAUGUAGUACCAUAAAAAUAAUACAUAAAUGUUCACCAAAUGUGUAAAAGUGUAAUAAAACAUUAAAUAUUAUACUUACUUUGGAUAUAUAGUUUGUAUCUCGUGUCACAAUUAUUUAUUGUCCUGUGUAUUAAUUAAAUGCUCAUGUAUAAUGCAAUUCAAUCAACAAAUAUUGCAUCAAUUUUACAUCGGGUAUCUCAAUUAUUAUUAUUAUACAUGCCUAUACGUAUUGUCAGUUCAUGACUUCGUAGCUGCCAGUUUGUGACUUUGUAGCUGCUGGUUCGUGACUUUGUUGCCACACAGAGACGCACACAGAUCUAAUACUCUUUGCCCUAGAUUAGGCAAAUGAACCACAAAAAAAUAAUACUUAAUUUCCUUCCCGUAAGGAAAAUUAUUAUUUUUUUAAUGGGGUAUAUAUCUUUUGUUAACCUUUUUUUUAAUAUAGUGGGUCAAUUUUAUUUAUUCCACAUAUGACAUAAUCUAAAAUAAUAAGGAAAUUUUUUUUAAUCAUUUCACCAUUCGUUUCUCUCUCUCGUCACCUCCUUUAAACGUCCAGUCCUCUUUCAAUUAAACUCGAUCAAAAUUCUUUCCCUUUGUUUGUCUCAUUAAAAAGUCACAAUUACAAAUCUAGAAAUUUAAGGAUAGUUUAUAUAUAUAUUAUUUCUUUUACAUGUUAUAUUAUUACCAUAUCAUUCGAACAUCUACAUUCACAUCAAUUCAAACUUGCAGAUGCAGAGAACUAGAUAAGUUUGGUAAUAAGCGAGGCGGACCCAGCCAGUUAGAUUUGGAGGGGCUUAGUUCAAAAAUUUUAAUUCAAUCAUUCAUAGAAUUAGAGGAAUUAUUCCUCUUGGACGAAAUGAUAAAGGAGUUUCUGGAAAGACGUUUAGAAAAACUUUGUAUAGGGGCUGUGGAUACACUUCUUGAUAAUGGAAUCCGUGGACAGCGGUCAUAAUAAGAUUUAUAAGUCGUUUUCAGAUGUAAUUGAAGUAAAAGAUGGAAGAUUUUGUGAGACUUGACUUAGCAAACGGAUCGAUUAUUCGGGGCGGUCUGUCAUUGUUGUGGGCACCUCACUUUCAUUACAUCAAUGUGGAUUGCCUCGCGAAAUCGCAAUAGAGUUGAUAUGUGCUACACGUACUGGCCAAUUUCAAACAUCUUUCAAUGACACAAUUGUUAGCAGAUAAACGAGCAUUUAUUGCUGCGAUCGCUGAUGACAAUGGAUACGGUUGGGCAAUUGCAAAAUCUCUCGCAGCUACGGGUGUUGAAAUUCUCAUUGGUACAUAGGUGCCUCUAUGUAAAUAGUCAAACUUAAUUCUCUUAUGACAAUAGACAUGCUCGAGUUCUGCCAAAAUUGUGUUUUCUAACUAACUAUUUUUGCUUUAUGCAGGCUGUUAACAUUUUUUUAAAGCAGCCUGCGGCAUGGGAAAUUUGACGAAUCACGCUUGUAAUUACACAAAUCUUUAUUUUUGAAUUACAUGUUAUCACAUGAACUUAGGGUGCAUUUGACACACUGUGUUAUGCUAUAUUGUAUUAUUUUAAUACAGGUGUAUUAUUGUAUUGCAUUAACAUUGUAUUAUAAUAAUAUUGUAUAAUGUUUGGUGCUACACUAUACUGUAUUAAUUUUUAAUUAUACAAGAUUUGGUGCUGCACAGUACUAUAUUAAUUUUUUUGUGAUUAAUUUAAAUUAUAUAUUUAGAAAAUAUUACUUAUUAGUACUUAGAAAAAUACUAAAUAUAAAAGUCUUAAAUUUUAUAAAUUUAACAUUUAAAUAAAAAUAUCAUAAUUAUUCAUAAAAAUCGAAGCUUAUAGCCUUAAGUUUUCGAAAAUGUAUUUUUCAAUAUUUUGUAAACAUAUAACCUAUGAAGUAAAGAUCGAAACAAAUAAUUUAAUCAAAUAAUCUCUAAGUAAUAUAAAAACAUAAAUAAAUAAUUAAAAUCUUCAAGAUUAGUUGAAAAAUCACCCUAGGAUGAUAGAAUAAAAGUUUAUAUAUACCACAAGAUGAUCACAAAAUAAUAAAGUGAUACAAUUGCUGUAACAUAUUCACUAAUAAAAUAGAUUGUGUUAAAUAAUCUAUUAAUUGUUUAUAUUAGUAAUUUUCAUCUAAUAUUAUUCAAAUUUAAAUAUUUAUUAUUUGUUAUAUUAACUUAUUAAAGAUUAAUCAAUUUUAUAUAUUAGUUAUUAUAAUAUAAUUAAAUAAUAUAUUAUUUAGUUAUAUUUUUAGUAUAGUAAAAAUUAAAAUAUAAUAUAAUAUUAUUGAGUAUUAAAUUUUAAAUCUAUUAAUUUAUAUUAAAAAAUAUAUUAUGAAAAUAAAAAUAAAAUAUUAUAUUAUAUUAUAUUAAAAAAUUAUAUUUAUUUAUUAUUAUAACAAAGUUAGUUUAAGAGGGAAAAAAUUAAGAAGGAAAAAAAAAAAGAUGGCAAGCCGCAUUAGCUAAACCCAACUAUUAUUGAGUAACGUUGGGUUUAGUUAAUGCGCCAACUUGCUCCAUUAGGGUGCAUUGGUGCCCCAAACAUGAGGUUGCAUUGUAUUCCCAUGUAAUGAGGGGUGCCAAACACCCCCAUACUGUACUGCCUUGAGUCUAUGUUCAUUGGUAUGUUGAAUUUGAUAUUUCAGGUUACCAAAUGGUUUGUUGAUGGAAAUUUCCAAAGUUUACCAUCUGGAUGCAGUUUAUGAUAAUCCUGAGGAUUUUCCUAAAAAUGUAACGAUACUUCUUAUGAUGGUUAUGGGUGUUGCGACUAUAUUAGUUUACAAAAAAAUUCUUGAUUAUACUCAUAUUUGCUGUUUUGUGCAGGUAAAAAAUAACAAACGCCAUGCAUGUCCUCAAAAAUGGACUGUUCAGGUAUAAUCCAUCGUUUAUGUAGAUCUUAUAAGCACAUGAUCAAAGUGCAUCAGAGAAGCGAUAUCCAUAAACUCUUAAUGUAAAUUAACAUCAUUAUUUUUAAGGGCAGCAAAAUAACGUGGGAGGCAUGUAAACCAUUUUCUGUGAUGAUCUUCUGCUAAUGGAAUUGUGUAUAAUUUUGAAUUUUGAGGCGCCAUAUAUAUGCAAUAAUAAUUCAUUUGACCAUAUAAAUGGCGUACAUUAUUCUAAGGUUUUUAUUAUUUCCCUCUUGGUGUUGGGGGAUCAUAUUAUAGGGGUCAUAUAGGAACAAACAUUUCUUUUGAUCGUUACACACUGCCUCCCUAUAUUUCUUGGGUCCACAUUUAUGUUUCCACACGUUGCUGUUCAUGGACCUUCAUGAUCAAUUCCAUAAUUGAAUAAGAUGUCCUGUUCUUCCAAAGUUCCUAUAUAAACAAUUAACAAACAGCACGAUGAUUGACUAAUUUGUAAUUCCGUCCCCGUAGAAGAUUGCUGACUCUGUAAAACGGCAUUUUGGCAGCAUUGAUACCCUUGUCCAUUCACUUGUAAAUGGGCCCAAGGUUCAGCUCUUGGCUUUUUUGUCGUUUUUGUGCUGUUACUUUGAGUUUGCUAUGCACCUCAACUGUAAGAAAUCAUGAACAGGUUAGCAAGCCUCUUUAGGAGACAUCAAGGCACGGAUACCUCGGAUCUCUCUCUGCAUCGACUACCUCCUUUGUUUCUUUACUCAAGCACUUCGUUCCAAUAAUGAAUCCAGGCACAUUUCUUACUUAAUCCUAAUAUUACAUCUCCUCGUGAUGAUAUCUGAAAUGCAACCGCAUGCUAGACUUUAAACUGGCUGUUGUAACUUACAGGUGGUGCUUCAAUUUCUCUAACGUACAUGGGUUCUGAAAGCUUCAUUCCAGGGUAUGCUGCUUUUAACGCCAUUUGCUUUCAUGAUCAAGUUUCUCAUUGUCUGAUUUUCCCCUCCGGAACAUUUUUUUGUUCAGAUGUGGUGGAGGUAUGAGCUUAGCAAGAAGUGCUCUGGAGAGUGAUACGCGUACAAGUACUAUUUGAGUAGCAUACUUAAAGAUCUGUUUCUCUUUCGACAGAUGUUUCUUAUGAAUAUAUCGUAUCUAUGAAAUGUCUUUCCUUGAUUAGGUGCUGGCUCUCGAAGCUGGAAGGAAACAUAAAAUUAGAGUCAACACAAUAUCUACAGGUUAACAAUUACCUCUCACCAAUGAAAUAUAAUCUCACUAAACUGGUCCAUGUUAGCUUUGUUGAGCUGCUUCAUUUCAACAAUUGAUUGUAGUGAUUUGAGUUUUUCUUAUGUAAGGGUUCCUAUAAUGCUAUUUUACCAAACAUAACAGUGUCAUUCCUUACAUUUUUUAGCCAUGCCAAAAGCAAUUGGUUUUAUUGAUAUGAUGAUUGAUUACUCACUGGAAAAUGCAUCCUUACAGAAAGAGAUGUCGGCAGGCGAGUCAUCAAAUAACUGAAGCUCUCUAUUUGCAACUGGUUGUAUAUCGAAAUAGCAUUUUAACCUAUAAUGGAACAGAGGAGGUGGGGAAUGCCGCAGCUUUCCUAGCAUCGUCUUUGGCUUCAGCAAUCACUGGCGCUCUUAUUUAUGUCCACAAUGGUCUAGAUGCAAUGGGAGAUGGAGCUGAAAGCCUCACAUUUUAGGACCUUCACAUUCCCUAAGUAGAGCCAGAUGUUAAUGAUCAUCAAUUUAAUUGUCAUGCAGAUAUCAGUGAUAAAUUUUAUUUGGCACAAAUGACGUUGUUUGCUCUUCUUAUUAACCGCUUCAGCUGCAUAUCACAAAGCUCAUUUGACGUCUGCCGGGAUUGAAGACUAAUCCAUACAUCAUUUGAGACGAGACCUUUUGUCAUUAUCCGUUCUUUUUAUAUCAUUUAGGAGUUGAAAAAGUCAAUAGGAUUUUGACAAUACACGACCACCAAUUCUUUUUCUUUUUUUUUGGGGGGGGUACAGAAAAGGAUAAUAAUACAAAAUUGAGGAAAUAAAAGGAGGGACUAGUGGGAAUAUAAAGAAUAUUCUUAUUUUCUAUUUGAUAAUGAAAUAACGAAAUAUAGGGACCUAUAUACGUGCCUAAACCCAAAAAAUUAAUUCUAUCUAUGUACAGUCUUAAAUCAUCCUAAUUUCUAGACAUCUCCUAACUAAGCUGCAAAGAGAAGCUGAAGCACUACAAAACCCUCCUAAGUCUGUAUCAUCUUACUUUACGCUUCCCUUUACGGAUGGCAGCAGCUCUUACUUCAGCAUCUUCAUUCUCAAGUGAAGUUUCCUGUACUGACUGUUCAGGUAAAACCAAGCCACGGUUUCUGGACAGUUUCCUUGUAGGCAUUGUGGGUGCUAUUUCCAGAGUUUCUUCAUUUACUUGAGCAGGUUCACAACUGCUUGAUAUGUUUACUUCAGUCCUAUGAGGCAUCAGCUCCUCCCCAACCUCAACAGUGCUCAUCAUCAACUGAAAAUACCAGAAAACUUUAGAAACCAAUAACAGCAACAAACAAGAAUUAUUAACCACAAUUAAGAGCUUCAAGUAGACAUAAAAUGCUGCUCAAAGAAAGAAAACCUGUAUGUUGGAUACACAAAAUACCAACUCAAACAUCCAAUUAGGAAGCAUACAGUAGAAACAUAUUAAAAACACAAUCUCACUGUAGAGCACAUAGCAAUUUUUUUUUUUUCCAAAGUACCUUCCAAUCCUUAAAGUCAAAUCUGAAGACAAAGUGGUUGUAAGAAACCACCUUAGAGGCAACAGCAUCGGCAGAGGGAGCAUUCUUUGGUGCUGAAAAUGGGAAAAAGUUGUAAGUGUUAUUAAAAAAUAAUAAAAAAGAAAAGAACUUAUGUAAGAGACAAAAGAAAGGUAUUUGCAGAAGAUCUUACAUACUAGAUGAAAACCUUUCUCAUCCACUACAAUUUCAGCCCGCCCAUCUUUAACUAAAAAUGAUAGGGUAAAUAAAUUUUCCACCGUCUGUGCAAAAGAAUUUCUGUUCAAUACCAGAUGCUCAAGUCUGACUCUUCUGUUUUUCCUCAAGAUAUUAAACAUGGUUAACAUAUUUUUAUCGGUAUCUAUUCUCUCUUUCGUAGCUGUACCAUCAACCUGCACGAAAGUUACACCAAAUUUAAAAUAUUGAUCAAUCUUGCAGCAGGGGAAAAAGGCAGAAGAAACUACUAGACAUAUAUAAUCCAAAUGGAACUCUUAAACAAAUAAUGUAAGAAUAUGCAAAGCAUAUCGCAAUCAACACAGCUUGUAAGGGUAGUGGAAAGCUCAUUAACAUGUACAAGGCCUCCAAGGAAAAGUAAUCUUCAAGUGGGACAAGAGAGAUAACAAAUAACUAAAGCCAAUAAUUUCAUAUUAACUAACACUGAAGCUUGAAUUACAAAACUCUUACCUCUGCAGGCCGAACAAUUUUUGUUGGUCGUUUACAUUUUAUAGAUGCAGCAAACUUCCGCUGUGUUAAGAGUAGUUCGUUAUUGUUAGUUAUGGCUGCUGACGUGUUAGAUGAGCUGGCUAAUGUUAGUUGUGCUGGCUGUAGUUUGUUAGCAUUCUGUUGAUUCAUGUUUAGCUUAGCUCAACUCACGUGAUUUGUUUUUUAUUAUUAAUUCAAGAGCUCUUGUAACAAUCAUAAGAUCAAUACAUAGAAAUUCAUUUUCUCUCUCUGAAGUCUCUGUUAUUUUCUAUUCAUUUUCUCAGAUACCAAACACUUUUCUGGUAUCUUAACUUGGUAUCAGAGCUACCAAUCUUCAAUCUCAUGGCGUCUUCAAGCAUAAACUCAAACAUAAAUUCUACUGUUUCAUCUUUUACUUUUACUUCUCCAAUUAAACUCGAUCGAUCGAAUUAUAUGAUCUGGAAGUCUCAAAUCCUUUCAUUUGUUCGUGCCAAUGGUCUUGAAGAUUUGCUCGAUGGAUCAAAAACCAGUCCAGAUCAAUUCCUUCAAAGUGAGGCUGAAAGUGCUUCUAUUGAUGCUGAGCUGAAUCCAGUAUAUACCACAUGGAAACGAAAGGAUCAGUUGCUGCUGAGCUGGUUGAUGUCGUCGAUCAGCGUUGAGAUACUUAGCCUUGUGGUAAACUCUGAAACUCCAUUAAAACUUUGGACUAGUUUGGAGCAACAGUUUGGAUCUGAAACUUCAGCUAAGAAGGUUCAUCUGAAAAUAAUGCUCAAUAAUCUUAGAAAAGGAUCAAUGACAGUAACUGAAUUUUUUGGCAAACUAAAAACAAUUACUGAUGAGUUAGCCAUUGCCGGUAACCCAAUAAGCUCUCUAGAUUUUCUUACUCACCUAAUUUCUGGAUUAGGUCAGCCUUACUAUCCUGUUGUAGUUUAUCUUGAAGCAAAUCUUGCUAAGAUUUCUAUCAAUGAAGCAUAUUCUAUGCUAUUAUCUCACGAAGCUAGAUUAGAAGCAAAUCAGCUAAGUUCAAGCAAAGAAGCUAAGCUGAACUAUGCUGCUAACAUUGCUCAAACUGGAUCUGGAACUAAUAAUAAUAACAAGAAACCAGGUGGUCAGUUCAAUAACAAUUGGAAUGGUGGUCAAUUAAAUAACAAUUGGAACAAGAAUGAUGGUUUCAGAGGUGGAUAUGUUGGAGGCAGAGGUGGUUAUGGUAGAAAUUUUCCACAAGGACAAGGAAGAGGAAACUGGAAUGGUGGCUGGAAUGGUUCUUUUCCAAAAUUUCCACAAGGAGGCAGAGGAAAUGAUUACAAUGGUAAUCCUGGCCAGACUGGAGGAUUUAAUGGUGGUUUUACAAAUGGCAAAGGUGUUUUGGAUCAAGUUGUUGCUAAUGUCACUUGCCAGACUUGCUUUAAACCAAGGCACACUGCAACUGAAUGCAGGAACGAAUUCAACAAGGAUUAUAUUCCUUUUAACAAUCCAUAUCAGAAUCCACCAAGAGCUGCUUUUCUUGCAACCUCUGAGGGAGCAAUAGCUGAUCAGGGAUGGUACAUUGAUAGUGGUGCAACACAUUAUAUCACUAACAAUUUACAGAAUCUGCAAAUUGGAAAUGAAUACUCAGGUAACCAAUUGCUUCUUGUUGGUAAUGGUCAGGGCUUGCAUAUAUCACAUAUUGGCUAUGCAUGCUUUCAAACAUCAUGCAAUGCAAUUUUACACUUAAGAGAUACUUUAUGUGUGCCUAAACUUACUAAAAAUCUCAUAAGUGUUUCAAAGUUACUUGAAGAUAACACUGAUAUAACUAUUGAGUUUGUUGCCAAUAUGUGUUUCAUAAAGAACAAGAGGAAGGAACAGCAUCUAGCUCAAGGGAUUGCUAAGAAAGGACUGUACCUGUUGCUGUCAAAAAAUGACUGUGUUUCAAAUUCCAGUUGUCUUACCUAUGCACCUAGCUCUAUGAUUUCUGUUUUAAAUAAUCCAGCUUGUAAAACUUCUGAUACAGCUGCAAAUAAUGUCUGUAAUUCACAAUUUCAAGUGAACUCAACCAAAUUAGCAAACUUGUUUCAUCAAAAAUUUGGUCAUCUCAAUAAACAUGUGUUGAAAUCUAUUAUGUCUUCUCUUUCUGUUGAUUACUCAUCUAUAUCAGCACCUGAUUUCUGUGAUGCUUGUCAGUAUGGUAAAGGUCAUCAAAUGUCAUUUUACUCAACUGGAAUCAAAACUAAAGAUCCUUUAGAGCUUAUACACACUGACCUUUGGGGUCCAGCACCCUUACCAUCUCUAAAUGGUUAUAGAUACUACAUUAGCUUUGUAGAUGACUAUAGUAGAUAUUGUUGGAUUUUUCCUUUGACACUCAAAUCAAAAGCCUUAGACACUUUCAAAUACUUCAAAACCUUAGUUGAAAAACAGUUUGGAUAUACUCUGAAAACAUUACAAUUUGAUUGGGGGGGUGAGUAUAGAAGUUUUCAAAGUUUUCUUGAAGAAGAAGGGAUAAGGUUUAGACAUAGUUGUCCACAUACACAUCAUCAAAAUGGUGUGGUGGAAAGAAAACAUAGACAUUUAGUUGAACAGGGCUUACCCUUCUUGCUCAGGCAAAAAUGCCUCUAUCUUUCUAGUGGGAAUCAUUCCAUACAGCUUUUUUUCUUAUAAACAGAUUACCAACCACUGUUUUAAACAAUAUUUCACCCUUCACCAAACUUCAUAAUAAACAACCUGACUAUUAGUUCCUCAAAACAUUUGGUUGUGCAUGCUUUCCUUUCCUCAGACCUUACAGCAAGCAUAAAUUCAAUUUCCAUACACAAAAGUGUCUCAUGAUUUGCUAUAGUCCAAUACACAAAGGCUAUAAAUGUCUUACUUCUACUGGAAAGGUCUAUAUUGCUCGACAUGUUAGGUUUAAUGAGUCUGAGUUUCCUUUUUCUACCUCUUACAUUUGUCCCUUCCACAACAGUCAUUUCAGAUGGUAACAAUGUACAACAUUCUUUUAGUUCACUUAUUCCAGAUGCAGGACCUGCUUCUAGUGUUUCUUCCCCAAAUCAGUCCAUUACAGCUUCUCAUCUAACCUCACCAGUACAGCAUCCAACAACAGUGCCACAUCUUGAACAAUCAUUCCAGUUUGUACAACAGCUGCUAUCAGCUCAAAAUGAUCACCCUAUAGUAACCAGGUCUAAAGUUGGCACAUUCAAGCCUAAAACCUAUUUGGCAAUCACUUAAAACCUUAAACCAUAAUCUGUAAAGGCAGCCUUGAUAGAUACUAAGUGGAGAGGGGCAAUGCAAGCAGAGUUUGAUGCCUUACAAAAUAACAAAACCUGGACUCUAGUUCCCAGAGAACAGGCUGGUAAGAUUGUUGGGAAUAAGUGGGUGUUUAGGGUGAAAUAUAACCCUGAUGGUAGUAUUAGUAAAUACAAAGCAAGGUUAGUUGCAAAAAGCUUUCAUCAAACACAAGAGGUGGACUUCUUUGAGACUUUCAGUCCUGUGGUUAAGCCCUGCACCAUCAGAAUUAUUUUGAGCAUUGUUGUUAUGCAACAGUGGUCAAUCAGGCAACUUGAUGUUAAUAAUGCCUUUCUCAAUGGCAUCCUCACUGAAGAAGUUUUCAUGCACCAGCCUGAAGGGUUCCUGCAUCCUCAAUAUCCUUCACAUGUAUGUAAGUUGACCAAGGCUCUUUAUGGACUUAAACAGGCUCCAAGAGCCUGGUAUGACAGGCUAAAAUCAUUUCUGUAACAUUGGGGUUUUCAUACUUCCAGAUCAGAUACCUCAUUGUUCUUUCAGCAUAAGGUAGGUGAUAUUGUGGUGGUGCUCAUUUAUGUGGAUGACAUUUUAAUCAUUGGCUCAGAUAAUAAACUUGUUGAGGAAGUUAUUGGUCGAUUGGGGUCUGAAUUUGCUUUAAAAGAUCUAGGAGAUUUUAACUAUUUUCUUGGUCUUGAAGUAACACCAUCAGCUGCUGGGAUGCAUCUUUCCCAAACCAAAUAUAUAGGUGAUUUACUCAAGAAAGCUCAAAUGAUUGAUAGCAAAGGAUGUCCAACUCCCAUGAGUUCAAGUGAUAAACUAGUCAAAGACAGAGGAGCAUCUUUUGAGAAUCCUUCACUGUACAGGAGUUUGAUUGGUUCUUUACAGUAUAUUACUUUAACAAUGCCUGAAAUUGCAUUCACAAUGAAUAAACUCAGUCAGUUCCUUGCUGCCCCAACUGUCAUUCACUGGCAAGCAUGUAAAAGACUCUUGAGAUAUUUGCAGAGCACAACAGAUUUUGGCUUACAGUUUUUCAGUACUAGGAAACUUACUCUCAUAGCAUUUUCAUAUGCAGAUUGGGGAUCAGACUUGGAUGACAGAAAAUCUGUUAGUGGAUAAUGUAUUUACUUGGGUGAUAAUUUGAUCUUUUGGUCCUCCAAGAAACAACAUAUAGUCUCAAGAAGCACAGCUGAGUCAGAAUAUCGAGCUUUGGCAUUGGCAGUGUCUGAAGUGCUUUGGAUAUCUUAUGUGCUUAAAGAGUUGAAGAUGCCACUAUUACAAGUUCCAGUUCUUCACUGUGAUAAUAAGAGUGUUGAAGCUCUGGCUAGUAAUCCCAAGUAUCACUCACGCACUAAGCAUAUUGAGCUGGACUUGCAUUUUGUUCGUGAUCACAUAGCUCGCAAUGAAGUUCAUGUUAGUCAUGUUCCAAGUUGUGAUCAAGUGGCAGAUGUUCUCACCAAACCCUUGGCCUUUGAUCAGUUCAAUUAUCUUAGGUCCAAGCUCAAUGUCAUUACAAGACCUUGAUCUUGAGAGGGGACGUUAAGAGUAGUUCGUUAUUGUUAGUUAUGGUUGCUGACGUGUUAGAUGAGCUGGCUAAUGUUAGUUGUGCUGGCUGUAGUUUGUUAGCAUUCUGUUGAUUCAUGUUUAGCUUAGCUCAGCUCACGUGAUUUGUUUUCUAUUAUUAAUUCAAGAGCUCUUGUAACAAUCAUAAAAUCAAUACAUAGAAAUUCAUUUUCUCUCUCUGAAGUCUCUAUUAUUUUCCAUUCAUUUUCUCAUAUACCAAACACUUUUCUGGUAUCUUAACUUGUUGCCUAUACUCCUUAUUCAUGGGCCCAAUCCUGAAGAAAGAACAAAAGUAAAUAAAAAGAUAUUCAAAUAUUUCAAAACGGACACAACAACAGGAAAAGAAGAAUAAGUCAAUAGUUAGGAAAAUGAGAAACGCACCACACUUAGCACCACAAUUAGCACAAAACGGUUCGUUUUGUGCUAACUAUAAAAGAAAAUAUUGUGCUUCAAAACUAACACACUCUCCUCACACACUCGCCUCACCAAACGGAUCGUGGGAUUGCUCUCUCCUUCGGUUUUCUCUCUUUCUCUCUCGAGCGUGGGUCUCUAUUCGGCUGUGGCUCUCUCUCUCUCUCUCUCGCCAUGGGUCUCUCUUCGGCCGUGGUUCUCUUUCUCACCGUGGGUCUCUCUCAUCCGGCCUCACGCACAUCUCGCUACUCUCUCCUUCAGCUUUCUCUUGUCGUGGGUCUCUCUCACGCAUCUCGUUGGGUUUUUCUUACGCAUCUCGUUGGGUAAUCAAUUCGUGGAGGUAAUUGGUUUAAUUUGCUGCUGGAAAUUGUUAUCACAAAUUAUUGUUGGAAGUUAUCUGCUGUUAAAAUUUGCUGCUGGAAAUUGUUAAAUUAUGUUGAUAUAUAAUUCGGAUAGGUUGAUUUGGGAUUGAUGAGUUGCUGAUUUUGGGAUGAGUUGUUGUUGGAAUUUUAUCUGCUGUUAAAACUUGCUGCUGGAAAUUGUUAAAUUAUGUUGAUAUAUAAUUCGGAUAGGUUGAUUUGGGAUUGAUGAGUUGCUGAUUUUGGGAUGAGUUGUUGUUGGAAUUUUAUCUGCUGUUAAAACUUGCUGCUGGAAAUUGUUAAAUUAUAUUGAUAUAUAGUUCAGAUAGGUUGAUUUGGGUUGCAUUUUUGGUAGUCUGAGGGGCUAAUUGAGAUGGCUUUGUGCUGGAAAUUGGAUGAUAAAAGAAUUAUUAUAACUUUGUGCUAGGAAUUGCCAUUAUGUGUUGUAUAUAUUUGUGCUACAAUGAUUGUGCUAUUUGUUUAUAUUGUAGAGAAAUUGUUCAAUCAUUAUGUCUUGUAGCAGCACAAGUGAAAAUCGAACACAGGUGAAAGCUUUUGAAAAAUGCAGCAAUAGUAAUAAGGUCUUACGAAUUUCACGUACGAGAGAAAAUCUGAAUCGUAAGUUUUGGAAGUGUAAAGGAUGUGGGGCUUUUGAAUGGGAUGAUGAUCGGAAAAGUAGUGAAUGUAAUGACUUUAGAGGGAUGGAAGAUCGAAGCAUGAACGAGAACAAAAUUGACAUCUUAUUAAGAGAAGUUCGCAGGCUGGGGCAUCAAAUGGAGUGCUUGUCUCUUAAAUUUCAGUUGUUUGAGAAAGAACUUCAACAAAGACAACCACAUGAAGAUCUAAGUCUUAUUGUAAAAUAUGUUCCACAAAUAAUUAUAACAAUUGUAAUUAUUUUUUAGUCGGCCCUCAUCAUCCACUUGCAUACUAAAGAAAAAUCUAUUAUCUUCCGCUUGCACUUUCAUAAAAUAAUUCUGAAGAGCAGCAGCAUCGCCAUCUCCAAGCCGUAAUCUUCUUUCUUUCUGAAUAUGAUUUCUACAAUCUCUCUCUAUGAAUGUCACGUUUUCAUGUCCACCGGCCUCAAUAACAAGUGAUUGAUAAUUUUUGGACAAUUUGAUUCCCACUCGAUCAUUUAUAUCAAGUUUCUUUUUUGCAUGUGCACUGAGGCUACGAUUGCAUCGAAAAAGCCUUGACUUCGUUGGAGACAACAAUGGAUGGUUGUGUUUAAGAUUUAAGCUUCGAAUCGUCCACUUUCCAUCAUCCCCUAAACCAGCUCCUAAUCUAGCACUGUAGCCUGUCUUUAUAUUAGGUUGCGGCUUUAAGAUAUUAGUAGAUUUGCUUCUUGUCUCCCCGCUUCGGCCACAAGCAAAAGACACAUUUCUAAGUAUCCCAUCACUAUCCUUUCUACUACUUCUCCGCAUAACUGGAAAUCUUUUUUUUUUACCAUACUCUUUGAAGUACAUAAACAUUUCAGUAUCGGUAUUAAAAGACAUCCCAAUCAUUGGCUCGUCCUCCUCCUCAAUUUUCUCCAACUCCUCAAUGUCUUCGAUGGCCUUUUCCAUAUUCUUUAUUUAUACGAAAUGAAAAUAAUUCAUAUCAUCAAAAUGGAAAUUUAUAUUAUCAAAAACAAAAUAAUUCACGACAACAAUAUGAAAAUAAUUCACAUUAACAAAACCAUUUAGCAUAGGUGUUACUUAAUUAUACAUUAAUAACGGAAUAAUGAAGUCAGCAAAUUGCUGAUUACACAUGGCAAUUAUUGAUGCUCGUUAUUGGUUAGAUAUCAUUUGUUGAUCUAAGAUUUGUGUGCUUUGUAAAAUCAUUAGCCAUUUAUAGAGGCAUAUCAGAUUUUAAGGGCCUUGAGAUGAUUUAUUUGCAAGUAAUUCCAUUUGAUGCAUCUCUGGAUAAGGAUUCUUUUUAGCUUGAUACAAAAUUGAGAGAGCAUAUGUUAUUUGGUAAUGAUCAGUUCUCAUGUUUCAAUAAGGCUAUUAAAAGAUUUAUGAUUUUGAAGGUACUGAUGCACAAGGGGUGCAAUGCUGACAUCUACUUUUCCUUGACUUAGACAUAACAUGGCUGCCUGAAAUUUCAAUCAAAUAAUGAAGAUCCAUCGCAUACAGUCUCAUCGCAUAAUUCAUGACAACAAUAUAAAAAUAAUUCACAUUAACAAAACUAAUUUCAAGAACAAAAUAAUUCACAAAACUAAGCUAACUCACUGUAAUAAUUCAUGAUCAGCAAGUAAAAUUAACAUAAAUUCAUAUUCAUGGCGGGCUCUACUCAUAUGCCUAUAUUUUCUUGUAUAAUCAUCAGUAAAAUUAACAUAAAUUCAUACCGAGAGAGUGAAGCUGCAGCUAGGUCUCAAAUUCCAGAAGUGCCGUCAGAAUGCAAUUCACGGGGUUGGGAGAGAAACAAUUGACAGCCAAGCUAAAUGCGGAGAGACCCACGAUGAGAGAGAGUGCUGCGGUCCAGUGAGAUGAGUGUGUGUGUGUAGUUUGCGUUUGCGUUUGCGUUUCAGAAACUCGAGCGCGUGUGUGGUCUGCGUUUGAGCAAGAUGAGUCUGCGUUUUUAAGCUACAGUUAAAUCUUUUAUAGUUAGCACAAAACAAACCAUUUUGUGCUAACUGUGGUGCUUAUUGGUGUGAGAAUAUCGGUGCUGCAUAAGGAGAAGCAGAGUGCGUUACCAAUAGUUGAACACAUGACUUCAUCUGUCCCGGGGCCAUCACCGUGGAACUGAAAUUUUUGUCAGCAGCAGUUUAUUUUUGCCACACCUAUUUACCUAGCUUUAAAAGUAGGAACUUACUUACACUUUACCAAUUUCAAGAAGGGAAUUUGAGAACUUUGACAUUGUAUGAAUUUCCAUUAAAAAUUUUGAGCAAUUACACAUGUAAGUAAUCCUUCAGAAUUUUUAUUUGUUAGUUUUCCUUUCUUUGCAUCAGAUAAGCAGAUGUAUACAAUUAGUACUAUCUUUUUUUUUUUCCCUCCCUUUUGAGCGGCUUGGAAGGACAUAUAGGCGGCACCUUUUAACUUUCAAGAAUAUGCACAGCAAACAAACUUCUGGCAAGUAGUAGUCAAUACUUGGUGCUGCCCUCAUAUAUGCAAUAUUGCAACCACAGCUUCUUCACUGAGAUAUCAGGAUAGCCAUGUUUACUUUUUUAAGUUCCAGCAACUUUCCUUUGAUUCCAUGCACGCGUACAUUUGUCCCCUUGAAGUCACAAGCACAUUUUUUACAUUAACGUAAUAUGCAAGAUCCUUCGUUCUAUUUUUCUUUAUAAUUUUUUAUUUGGACAAACUGAAGUGGUAAUUGGAUCCUCCUGCUUUAAUAAAAAUUAACAUUUAUUCUUGACACACAACGAAUGGACAAUAUAGUUUUGUUUAGAUAUAGCGUGCUAAAUAUGGCAUUCUGGCAUAAGCUUGUACAAAUUUAAAAAAAAAAAAAAAAGAGAGAGAGAGAGCGCAAGAGUAGGGAUUCUGAAAAAAUUCAACAUUUAGAACACAUCCCUGCAAUAAAUCAAAGAAAGUACUGCAGAUCUUACGAGAACAAGUAACAUUUACUUGUCAUAUCAUACAUUUACGAAGCAUAACCUCUGUAACUUGUAGCUGCAUCUCACAAUAUUUUCAUGCUCCAUCUCUCUUGUCAACCCAGACUACACGUCUACACAUCAGCAGUCGAGAUACGUCAGAGGUCUACAUGUCCGCUUUUCUCCAUGAUUGACGUCUCCACCCCGCAGAUUACUUAUGUUAUCAUUACAUUAAAUCAACAUGUUAAUCAUUAUUAUCAUUAGUUCUUAUUCUUUUGGACUGCCCAGAAAUUGUAAAUGAGUCCCAAUCAAGUAUAAUGUGCAAUGACCAUGUGUAACUUGAUUAUUGACUAACAUCUUACAAUCUGAUUAAUAAUCCGGUAAAAUGUGAUAUGUCGCGCACAAUAACAUAUACAAUAACAUACAUUUAAUUAAAUUCAAUACAUAAUUAUGGUUAAGUAUCUCGUCUAACGGCCCUCUUCUCCUUUUCAUCAAUCCCUCUAUAGCCCAAACAUCAAUUAGACCAAAAGCAUUGCAUCUUCCGGUCACCAAAGAUGCAUCAAAUCUCCAAUAACUCACUCAAAUCAACCACCUCUAGAGUAAAUGCGUAACAAUGAGGAUUAAUUCAUCAAAAAUAUAGAAAUUAUCAUUAUCAAUUUAUUGGCAUUUAUAAUUUAUUUUUUUAAUUGAAGGGCCUAUUUUUCAUUAUUUCCCUUUAAUAAAAAUAAAUUUCAUAAUAUCGAUUUAUUAUUAAAAAUCAAAAUAUUAAUGUAAAGUAGUAACAUGACUAAACAUGAUUCACAUGGUCAUUAAACAGCAGGUAGACAUCUCCCGUCAGGGGCGGAGCUAAUAAAUUCAGCUUUGAGAACAUAGUUUUAUUUUUUUAAUAUGGCCCCGUAAGUUUAAUACUUUAGCAGUUUAACCCAAUAAUUAAAUACAUUUUUUUAACCUUUACUCCUUAAAGUUUACUUUUAUAAAAUUUUGCCCCCCCCGGAAUUUUAUUCCCAGCUCCCACCAAUGUCUCCCCUCUCUUUUCCUUCAUGACAUUCCUCAUUAAGCCAGGUACGUGAACAUUUGUAAUGUAAUGCUUCCAAUCAAUGCUCCCCAUGUCAAAUCCAAACUUUUUCUUCUCUUCUUCAUUCAUGAUCUGCAUUAGCCCCAUUGUGUUGCUGCAAUCAAACCUGGCACAUGGAGAUCAU
rnacentral:lncRNA from 1 species